GAGAAUGUGGCUUUGUGACAUCAUGUGUAAUGUCGGAAUGCCACAAUGCAAAAUGCUACGAUGUGGAAUUGUGGCAUUCUGACAUCAUGUGUAAUCCUAGAAUGUGGAAUUAAGACAUCACACAUGAUGUCACAAUGCCACAUUCUA
rnacentral:miRNA from 1 species